UACAGAGGGGGGGCAAGCGUUGUUCGGAUUUAUUGGGCGUAAAGAGCGUGUAGGCGGCCAGACAGGUCCGUUGUGAAAACUCGAGCUCAACCUCGAGACGCCGAUGGAAACCGUUUGGCUAGAGUCCGGAAGAGGAGAGUGGAAUUCCUGGUGUAGCGGUGAAAUGCGCAGAUAUCAGGAAGAACACCCGUGGCUAAGGCGGCUCUCUAGUACGGUACUGACGCUGAGACGCGAAAGCGUGGGGAGCGAACAGG
rnacentral:rRNA from 1 species